AUGACUGCAAUGUUGACAUUUAUAUUUAUAUUACUGACUGUAACUGGAGGAAACAUGGCCACAGAUGUCAUCACACCAUACAGAGAUGCAGUAUUUGUCAGUGAAUCUGAGAGUGUGACACUGUCUUGUAACUACACUGGAUCUGUUGAUAGUCUUCACUGGUAUCGACAAUAUUCAGCUUCACCACCAGAAACUUAUGGAUCAAUAAGGGAAGCUUAUCCUCCAGUUUCAGGAAUCUCUAUCAAACACAGAAAAGCUGACAACAGUGUGGAUCUGAAGAUCUCAUCUGUUAAAGUCACAGACUCUGCUAUGUAUUAUUGUGCACUGAUGCCCACAGUGACAGGAAACACAAAUACACUUUACAAAAACCUCACUGACUGA